AUUGGAAUGUUUUUUCUUUUUAAAUAGUAUUCACACGUAUAUUCGCUUUUUUUUUCUUUUCAAGGUACUUAAUGGUAUAGACCUAUUUAACUUAUUAACAAAUACGAUUAAAUGCUAAUAUAUGCGCGUUUUAUGUUAUUUUUAUUAGUUACUUAAAACACUGUUCUUGUCAGCCAAAUAUGGGUAGAUUUUAAAAGGGAAGAGACUGAAGCGUGAAAACGUUUAUUUUAAUUAUACAUGCGUAAUUAUGAAGAGGAUGAGGGUUUUGGAAAUCUGCCUUUGUGUUGUAAAAUGUUCGAACUAUUAUUCUUGGUUAAACACGUGCUGUUUUAACUCUACAAAAUGUUUGUUACGUUUCGGUAUUUACGCAUUUCAAUGAAUUCUACGCGCAAGAUCUGGAAGGAGUUAUACAUUUAGAAAUUUUAAGAUAAUACGUACAUGUGAUUUAUAAAUAAUAGGAAAAAUUAAUACAAUACAAUUAGAACAUAUAGACAUAUAAUUAGUACAUUACAUAUAGUAUGAAUUAUAUAUGAUACAUAAUAUUAUUAAAUAAUAUAAAAUAUUAUGAAAAAAUUACAGUUUAAUAAAAAGUAUCAGUUAUGCUAAUUAUAUACUGUGUCAAAUUUGUCUUCUAAUAUGCGUCGUUACUAUAAUGGUUAAUAAUUUUAAUUAUUUCCUACUUAAUUUUACAAGGGUGCUUGACGUGUAUGUUAACCGUUGAAUGUAAUUCACGUUUCGCGAAAGUCACGCUGCAACCUUUUUUGGUACAAGGUUCUCCAGACUGCAGGUCAAGUAAAAUAAUUCAAAGUUGUAUGUCGCCGUGUAGACUGUGUCGUUGUGAAUAAAGGCGUACUGGUAGCAUAUUUAAGCCGAAGGAAUACGAUGUUUAAAUUGAAAGCUGCGCCUAGAAAAUUGCGAGAUAACAGUAGAAACCGUCUUUUGACAAAUUUUUAUUAACAUCGUUAUACUUUUCCAGACUUGAUUUAUUCAUAACUGGAGGGUCGCUGACUCGAGCGAAAGAAAAAUAGGUACACUUGUGUUUAAGUAAAGAGGAACGCUAAAUACUGGAAUUUCAAACGACGGCGAGAAUACUCUUCCACUUUAUUUUUUCAACAUUAAGAAAACCAUGAGAUAUAAGUUCGUUUCUCGUAAAAGUAGUCAAAUUAAAAAUCGAUUAGAUGCAAAUUUUUAAUGCUAAUGUUAUCCCAUUGAUGAAGCUGCAUAAAUUUUGUAAUACGAAUUGAAAGAGUAUGCUAUGAGGCUUAUAGAAAUACUUGGAAAAAUGCUGUUGACAGUUUGUUUAGCAGCUAGCUCUAGCGUACUAAUUGUUAAAAUUCAGCGCGUAUUCCAUAACUUAUGGUUACUAUGCGAUCAUAUAUCUACUACGCUAAACCCGACAAUACAUUUCUUUGCUAUUAAAUACUACUACUAGUAACUGCUUUACUUACUACUAAGAAUCGUAGCAUACUUGUCUGUGUAUGUUGAGCAUUCAUUAUGUUUAAUGGAUCAAUGACACGAACGAGAUUAACCUGCAUUGCUUGUUUUAGAAAGAUAAUGAGAUCAAAGGAGAAAGGAAAUUUCCCUGAUGUGGAUGACGUUGCAUCCUCGUGGAUUGAUGCAUUUCGCUUUUCGCAACCUGCACUAUUCUUGCCACAUACGUAUACAUAUAUAAUCUAAUAAUAAAACUAUACUGUGUCUGACUGUAAACCACACAGACUUUUCCAUGAUACUAUUAUUAAAUUUAAUAGCAAAUGAGUCAACCAGUAUGAAGUUCGCUAUAAAAUCGACUAAAAGUAAUUUGAUGAACGACGAAGAGCUUGAAAGUUUCUUAUGUUUCUUCGUAGCAAAUACAGUAAGUUUCGCAAUUACUUUACUUUAUCAAUAAUUUGUAUAUAUCUCUAUAUACUGUUAAAGUAAUAAUAUAAUCUUUUAUUAAAUACAAAAUUUAUAUAUAACAGAAUAAACAUUUUAUAUGUGACAGAAUAAUUUGAAGUAUUAACGCACACCGCUCUAUUCUCUUAUACAUCUCAAACAGGAAUGAAUUUGUUUUAUUGUACAUUCAUUCAUUCGACACAUACGUGAUACGCUUGUCCCAUGGCGUUUUUCAUUUGUCUUCUUCUUUUUCAUUCCUCGCUCGUACAAUGCAGAUAUGCACAUAUUUAUUUUAUAACAUAUACAUACAUCAUAAAUAUACAGCGUCAAUAAAUUAUACCGAAAGUGAAGGAUGCAGUUUAUUGAAAUAAAACUUGGUUUUUGUGUAAGGUAUAGUAACCAGGCAUGCGAACAACUCUGAAAUUUUAGGAUAGUAAUCUUCUUCCAGAAAGUAUUAAAUUUUAAGCCGUUAAUAGACCGCAGCGGUAACGAAUUGCCACGUUUAAACUAAUAUGCUCUUCACGAUUUUAUCAUUAAAAGAGGAUUCGAAGCAUCGAGUCAGUAGAAUGUCAGUUUAUAUCUUAAAACAAGUAUAAAAUACGGUAAAAAGUUUCAAGCUUUCACCGAAGCGUUAAUCAAGCGAAUGUUAGUUGGAUGUUACUUUCUUUUGCACUUGUAAAUAUCGCUGAGCAUCAACGCCGAGCGUUGUAAAAGCAUCGAUCACGGAGGAAGUAAAUAGAAUUCGGUGAACGCGAAACGAUUCCAGGUGGAUGUGUUUAAUAAGAGCGUGUACAGUAAUAAGAGCCAUUUGGAGCGGAUGAAAUAUCGUGGAAUUGAUAUUCUAGCGUAUCGAUAUCGCAUUAGCGGCAUCUAAACGAAAGAAGAUAUCUUCUCUAUAGCGCUCGUGUUAUUAAAUUAAAGAUUUAUAAUUGAAGAUUGCGAUCGUUUACGCAUUUGUAGAGAAUUUCUGAUAGAAAUCGCAAUAAUUAUGUACAUUUUUUAGAUAUUUUUGUAUUAAUAUUAAUGAUACCACAUAAUACUGUAAUGCACGUUUGAUUGUAUAAUUACUGCAAUAUUAACUGCAUAAAGUAAUAAUAAAAUACUAUAAACAACAAUGAUAAUAAAAAGCUAUUUUUAUACCGAUAUCAAUCGUAAAUAAAAUAUAAUAAUAGUUAGACGUAGGAAAAUGUACUUCCUGAAACGGAGGUAUAAUUUUUAUCGAGUAUUAAAGUUUGAACGAAAAAGUUUCUUAACGAAAUUGUUUCAGAAUCGACACUAAAAAUAUCAGCAACAAUUUCAUGAAAAAUAGUGAGAUGCAUUUUUCAUUCAUUAAGCGGGAGAUUACGUUUUGUUAAAUAUGCCAAAUUACACGAAACAACUAAUUUGAUACAGAACCGUAUUCAUUACCUAAAUCAAUUAUUAUAUUCUCAUCGUAUUCUACGCUAUUGUUUUAAAGUGCAAAAACUUCUAAGAUGCGCAUUAUUAUGUGUAAUUUGUUCGUGUGUGUCUUAUUUGGAAAAAGUGUCACAAAAGAGCUGCUGAAGAUAUUAUGUAAAUCAGCAUCUGUAGGAAAUAUUACGUAAGUAUUAGGACGGUACGCUGCUUUGUGGAAAUUUAAGGCUGGUCAUUUUUCAUUGGAAAGAAGCCGAGAGAAAAAGCCGGGAAACGCCAUCGAACGUAAUGUUUGUAAAAAUAUUACCAGAAAUAAUGACGGACAAAGUGUGUCACACGGUUCGAGUGAGAAAAGCAAGGAAGAUGAACGAAUAAAUUCCGCAUGAGUUAAACGAUAUGCAAAAGCUUGGACGAAUAGAUAAAGCUAUCAAAAUGAUAAAGAAAUGAACAGCAACAUAUAGAUUUUUAAAUCUUGUGGCAACGAGCUGAUCAUAUGCAUAAUCGAAAAUAUCAACAAAGGAGAGUAUAAUAUGAAUAAUAGAGAAGAAGCUUACGAUGACUCUAUUUUGAUGGCGAUUCGCGGGAUUUCUUUAGUUCUAUUUCUCACAAUUUCAGGUUACUCGAAGCCGAAACGAGGAAACAGCUAAAGGAAGAUGAAAAUGUAAACAAGUGAAACGAAAUGAAGAUGUAAACAACUAAAUGGAACGAGUGCAGAAUUAAUAGAAAAGCAGAAGUAGAAAAUGGAAGUGAAUCCUGCUGCACUACAACGCAAUAGCAUAUACGCGAGCAAUUUUUCAAUGGAUACAUCGUCUGGAAAUAAAAUGAAAAGUAAUUGCGAAAGGAGCGUUAGAGAAGUCGUUAAAUCCUGGAAUUGUUAAAAUCUCGUCUGUAUCGAAGGCGACUUUAUCCCUUCAUCUUAACGUAGCCCGAUAAGUUACUGACUUGAUAUGAUAAAAAUUAUAAUAGCAAUAAUAGCCAAUGAUGUGUUGCAACUUCGUCAUGUUUGACGUGCCAAUUUACCGCGUGUACACGCUCGUGGUAAAUUGUUUCGCCAGUAAAAAGAGCGACGAUGUACAUAAUUGCACGCGAAGCACGUAUGAUUUUUCACGAUCGUGCACCGUACAACGAACAGUGACGUGACAAUGAGCGUGACGUGCAUUGCUGAUCUUUAUUAAAAAAGCUAAUCCCGUAAUGCAAGUCGUUGGCCUGUAUCGCGUAAUUAAGAAACACGCGUGUUGAAAUCGGAGGAUUUGCAAGUGGGUAAGCUUAAGAACGGUAGAGGCAAUUCCUUUCUAUAGAAAGAGGCAACAUUUCUUUUCGCUCAAUUUAUUGCACAACAUACAUAUAUUGAUAUAUGUGAUAAUUUAUUAACGCAAUUAUUGACUGUGAAUUUUGAUACUUUUUAUUACAACAGGUUUUUCACAUUCUAUACAUUAUACGUUAUAAACUAUUAGAGAAUGUCUUAAUAAAUGCAGGAAGUAAUUUAGAUUUUCAUUAACUGUACCUUACACAAUAUAUAGCUGAUAGAAGUAUUUGAAUACUUAUAGAAAUCUUUAAAAAUCAUAUUUAAAAAAUUGUAUGAAUAUAUUCUGUGCAUUUCACAACAUCUUGCAAUUUCAUUAGCAGCGAAAUGGAUUCUAGCCACUAUCGUCAUUAUAUUAAUACGGUUUGAAGCAAUUUCUGGGAAUAUGUAUACACAGAAGAUAUUUAUUGCAAGUAUACGUAUAUAUAGCAGAGACUAUAAGAUUACUUAACCGUCAUUUUCGCAAGAUGAUGUGUCCCUCGGCUGUCAAAUUGACACAGUGGUAACGCAUCGAUGAAACGAAAAGACAAGUAAUUCAUUUUUCUCUUUGUCGUUCACACGCAUUCGCACUAAUCCUAACGUUCCUUCACAGCUGUCAUAUUUCAAAGGCAAAAUGCUUUACAUCGUUUCAUAAAUGACAAUGAACAAAAGAAUCUUUUACUGAAAAAGUAUAUGAAAUUGAUACGAGGGACUAAACGCGAGGGUUAAACAUCAGUGAAUUAUCCAUUGUAUUAAUAAGCCUUAAUAUUCAGUGGGACCAUUUUAACACUUAUUGUAUACAUAUCUAUUAGGUUGUUCGAAAAGUUUCUUUCGUUUUAUGAGGAAAUAAUAGACGCGCAAUGUUAUUUGUUUUAUAUUAUUUCGUCGAAUUACGUACGAUCCAUCUUGUUCUGUUGAGACAAACAGCACGAUAUUUCACAGACUUGGUUUCACGUUUGUAUGAAGGUGCAUUGUUGUAAAAAACACGUUUGCGAAAGAAAGACAUUUUUCGGACAAUCUAAUAAAUCGAUUUCAAAUUUUGCAAAUUACGCUAUUUUAUUUAACACGUGCAAUGCAUACACGCAUAAAAGUUUUCAGACUACCAAUAAGUGUUCAAAUAUGUUCUCGAGCCACUGUCUUACAUCGAAGAUAAUAUCGAUGAAUCGUCAGUUUCUCAUGGAGAUUACAAUAUUCUAAGUAACGUAUGUCCGUCUAAUUCAAUUUUACGAUGCACUGCUGGAAAUUUAUAGGUUGUAAAAGGAAUGAGGAAUAAGUUUUAGUAACGCAGAGAUUGCAUGUUUCAACGUUCAGCGGGGUAGAGUAACAUGGUUAUACGAGACUGUUCUUAAUUGCGAAACGUGUAAAUCUGUAGUUCUGAAGUAUGUGUUUGUUGGUUUCUGAUCGACGUAUGGAAACGGUUAACCCGGUUACCAUGCACACUGAUCUGCAGACGAAUUAAAUCUGUAUACUUCGAAUCCGUGUGAGUGCGACAAAUGAUUUCAAAAUAUUCGAAAGAUCGCUUUAUUAUGUUGUGCAGAGAGGAGGUAGUCUUUGCGUAGAAGAGAGUUCACUUCGUGUAAAAUUCUAUGAAUGAAAAAAAUCUCUUCUAGGUGUUGCAACAUCGUGUUAGACGGUCCUUCUGUGGAAAGUCGACAUCACACAGCCAGACUUCUCUCUCUCUCUCUUUCUCUCUUUCUGCCCGGAAGCAUUGUUUGUCUGGGAUGUUCUCCCAUUGGCGGUCAAAAAUCAAGGGAGAAAGUAUGCCAUAAUUGGCCACAAAUACAUACCUAUGAUUCAAUACGGCAAUUGGCAUACGAUUUCCUAUCUGCGUGGAUCUCGUGUUUUGACAUUGAUGACUGGAAUUCUGUGUCCCAUAGCGUACGUAUAUAUACAGAAUUCUAUGAUACAUAUCACAGAAUUAUCAUAAUUUGCAUAUGUUGUACAUAUUUAUUUGCUUGUAUUUUCAUAUUACAUUAUUUGUAUUAUUACAUUAUAUUACAUGUAUAUACAGGGUGGUUGGUAACUGGUGGUACAAGCGGAAAGGGGAUGAUUCUACGCGAAAAAGGAAGUCGAAAAUAUAGAAUAACAAUUUUUUUUAAUUUUUUUUUUUUAAUUUUUCCAUCGAGACAACGAUCUACAGUGAGAUCCGUUAUAACGAGACAUGAUAAGGUGUACGCGUACCGAGCGAAAAUUCAAAGUCGGUUUUCUCGAACACAAAGGCUCAAACGAAAAACUUUUAUUCUAUAUUUUCGACUUCUUUUUUCGCGUAGAAUCACCCCCUUUCCGCUUGUACCACCAGUUACCAAUCACCCUAUAUAUAAACAAAACUGAAUAUUAUAUAGGAUCGACGUUCGUUUUAACGCAUACAGGACGAGUGUACUACAAUUGAACAGGGACUUUUUCCUACGUAAAAAAAUAAGUGGAAAAUAUGCAAUAAAAUUUUGCCAUAUGACGUUUGGUUUCUGAAAAAAUCGAGUUUGAAUAUUAUAUAAUUUUUUAUUAAUUACUACUUGAUUAAGUGAUAUAAUUAAUACUUGGUUAAGUAUCGAUUAGGUAUGA